rnacentral:rRNA from 1 species
GACAGAGGGUGCAACCGUUGCUCGGAAUCACUGGGCGUAAAGGGCGCGUAGGCGGCCUGGUAAGUAGGGGGUGAAAUCCUGCGGCUUAACCGCAGGGCUGCCUUCUAAACUGUCAGGCUUGAGCACGGUAGAGGCAGAUGGAAUUCCCGGUGUAGCGGUGGAAUGCGUAGGGAUCGGGAAGAACAUCAGUGGCGAAGGCGGUCUGCUGGGCCGUUGCUGACGCUGAGGCGCGACAGCGUGGGGAGCAAACAGG